CUUUCAUUUAGACUUUCUACUGCACUCUGAGAAUCCGAAGGUUCUUAUUGUAGGUGCUGUGAUUUCUGUCAAGUUUUGAGUCGAGAGUCAGGAUUUUCAGGUUUUUCUUUAGCUUUCAGGUUAGAUCUUUUCUUCUUUGCUCUUCCUUCUAUAUUUUGGAUUUUUCACCAUUUUCAAUGGCUAGUAGUAGUAGGAAGGGAAAGAUUAGGGU
rnacentral:lncRNA from 1 species